rnacentral:rRNA from 1 species
GAGUUUGAUCCUGGCUCAGGAUGAACGCUAGCGGCAGGCCUAACACAUGCAAGUCGAACGGUAACAGGAAUUAGCUUGCUAAUUUGCUGACGAGUGGCGCACGGGUGCGUAACGCGUAUACAAUCUACCUUUUGCUGAGGGAUAGCCCAGAGAAAUUUGGAUUAAUACCUCAUGGUAUUAUUGAUAGGCAUCUAUUAAUAAUUAAAGGUUACGGCAAAAGAUGAGUAUGCGUCCCAUUAGCUAGUUGGCGAGGUAACGGCUCACCAAGGCAACGAUGGGUAGGGGUCCUGAGAGGGAGAUCCCCCACACUGGUACUGAGACACGGACCAGACUCCUACGGGAGGCAGCAGUGAGGAAUAUUGGACAAUGGGCGAGAGCCUGAUCCAGCCAUGCCGCGUGCAGGAAGACUGCCCUAUGGGUUGUAAACUGCUUUUAUACCAGGAAGAAUAAGCCU